AUUGAACGCUGGCGGCAUGCCUUACACAUGCAAGUCGAACGGUAACGGGUCCUUCGGGAUGCCGACGAGUGGCGAACGGGUGAGUAAUAUAUCGGAACGUGCCCAGUAGUGGGGGAUAACUGCUCGAAAGAGCAGCUAAUACCGCAUACGACCUGAGGGUGACAGGGGGGGAUCGCAAGACCUCUCGCUAUUGGAGCGGCCGAUAUCAGAUUAGCUAGUUGGUGGGGUAAAGGCCUACCAAGGCAACGAUCUGUAGUUGGUCUGAGAGGACGACCAGCCACACUGGGACUGAGACACGGCCCAGACUCCUACGGGAGGCAGCAGUGGGGAAUUUUGGACAAUGGGCGCAAGCCUGAUCCAGCAAUGCCGCGUGCAGGAAGAAGGCCUUCGGGUUGUAAACUGCUUUUGUCAGGGAAGAAAUCUUCUGGGCUAAUACCCCGGGAGGAUGACGGUACCUGGAGAAUAAGCACCGGCUAACUACGUGCCAGCAGCCGCGGUAA
rnacentral:rRNA from 1 species